rnacentral:rRNA from 1 species
GACGAACGCUGGCGGCGUGCUUAACACAUGCAAGUCGAACGGAAAGGCCCUGCUUUUGUGGGGUGCUCGAGUGGCGAACGGGUGAGUAACAAGUGAGUAACCUGCCCUUGACUUUGGGAUAACUUCAGGAAACUGGGGCUAAUACCGGAUAGGAGCUCCUGCUGCAUGGUGGGGGUUGGAAAGUUUCGGCGGUUGGGGAUGGACUCGCGGCUUAUCAGGUUGUUGGUGGGGUAGUGGCUUACCAAGGCUUUGACGGGUAGCCGGCCUGGGCGGGUGACCGGCCACAUUGGGACUGAGAUACGGCCCAGACUCCUACGGGAGGCAGCAGUGGGGAAUAUUGCACAAUGGGCGGAAGCCUGAUGCAGCAACGCCGCGUGCGGGAUGACGGCCUUCGGGUUGUAAACCGCUUUCGCCUGUGACGAAGCGUGAGUGACGGUAAUGGGUAAAGAAGCACCGGCUAACUACGUG